rfam:Gossypium hirsutum cultivar TM-1 chromosome 10, whole genome shotgun sequence
UAUUAAAAAUUUCAUCUAUUUUUAUUGUAAAAUUGAUCUUAUUGACAGAAUAACCAAAUAGUUGCACAUGGCGUGUCAUGUGUGCUUCAUUUUGACAUAUGUGGACGAGCUUUUAAUCAUAUAAAUGGAUGAAAUCUUUAACA